CCUUGGGUGUGGUGUCAGGUAGUUUCGUUCAUGCAGAUAUGAUACACGUAUUUUGCAAGAAAAAAAAGACCUUAUGAUACAGGCGAUCAAUUUUUUAGUAAUCCUUUUUUCGUGCUCAAUGAAAGGCUUAAGCCGAUCUCAUACCUGACGUAACGGAGCACCGUGCACCGGCGGCUGAAGUGUCCUUUUCUAGCAAGCAGCAAUCAGCGGUUCCAUGAUGGGCAUAUUCUGAGUUGGUGACGUCGUGAGUCGUUUCUGGCGGAGUGCUGCACGUUUGCACAUGCAUAGGCGCCUCUUUUGUCUGGGAGCGAAGCACUCGGAACUUGGAACCAAGUUUGAGGCUCAGGGCGGAAAUGACCAAAACCGGUGGGAGGUUUUGGUUUACAGUAGGGCGGCCGACGCUGUUUCAGUUCCCAGUCCCACGUUGCUUUCUCUGCAGCGGGUCCACGUCCAGUCGUGUUCCAAUCUUCUUGUUUUCUUUCGUGGGAGUAGGUUCCAACCUUCUUGCUAAUGGAUCUACUGUACUAACUAACAGUAACAUUGUCCUAACACGUAAGGCAAAAGCAUCUUGUGCAUGCCAGGUUAGUGCCCCAUCACUUGACGAGAGUCAU
rnacentral:lncRNA from 1 species